rnacentral:tRNA from 1 species
GGUUUUGUGGCUCAGGGGUAGAGUGCUUGCCUAGCAAGUAUGAGACAUUGGGGUUGAUCCUCAGCACCA